rnacentral:tRNA from 1 species
GGAGAGGUGCCGGAGCGGUCGAACGGGCACGCCUGGAGAGCGUGUGACCCAAAAGGUCCCAGGGUUCGAAUCCCUGCCUCUCCG